rnacentral:rRNA from 1 species
UAGGGAAUCUUCCACAAUGGACGCAAGUCUGAUGGAGCAACGCCGCGUGAGUGAAGAAGGUUUUCGGAUCGUAAAGCUCUGUUGUUGGUGAAGAAGGAUAGAGGUAGUAACUGGCCUUUAUUUGACGGUAAUCAACCAGAAAGUCACGGCUAACUACGUGCCAGCAGCCGCGGUAAUACGUAGGUGGCAAGCGUUGUCCGGAUUUAUUGGGCGUAAAGCGAGCGCAGGCGGAAGAAUAAGUCUGAUGUGAAAGCCCUCGGCUUAACCGAGGAACUGCAUCGGAAACUGUUUUUCUUGAGUGCAGCAGAGGAGAGUGGAAUUCCAUGUGUAGCGGUGGAAUGCGUAGAUAUAUGGAAGAACACCAGUGGCGAAGGCGACUCUCUGGUCUGCAACUGACGCUGAGGCUCGAAAGCAUGGGUAGCGAACAGG